rnacentral:rRNA from 1 species
UAGGGAAUCUUCCGCAAUGGGCGAAAGCCUGACGGAGCAACGCUGCGUGAGUGAUGAAGGUCUUCUGAUCGUAUAACUCUUUUAUUAGGGAAGAACAAAUGUGUAAGUAACUAUGCACGUCUUGACGGUACCUAAUCAGAAAGCCACGGCUAACUACGUGCCAGCAGCCGCGGUAAUACGUAGGUGGCAAGCGUUAUCCGGAAGUAUUUGGCGUAAAGCGCGCGUAGUCGGUUUUUUAAGUCUGAUGUGAAAGCCCACGGCUCAACCGUGGGGAGUAAUUAGGAUCUGGAAAGCGUGAAUGCAGAAGAAGAAAGUGGGAUUCCAUGUGUAGCGGUGAAAUGCGCAGAGAAAUGGAGGAUAACCAGUAGCAAAGGCGACUAUCUAGUCUGUAACUGACGCUAAUAUGCGAAAGCGUGGGGAUCAAACUGG